GGGCUUGUGGUUUAGUGGUAUAAUACUCCCUUAGCAUCUGAUCGUGCUCUUCCUCUCUUCUGAGAAAAAGGCUCACGAGAAAACUUGGGAGUGGUCCGGGGUUCGAUUCCCCGCGAGUCCA